GAUGAAGAACGUAGCGAAAUGCGAUAAGUAAUGUGAAUUGCAGAAUUCAGUGAAUCAUCGAAUCUUUGAACGCACAUUGCGCCCCCCAGUAUUCUGGCGGGCAUGCCUGUUCGAGCGUCAUUUCAACCAUCAAGCCCUGCUUGUGUUGGGGUCCUGCGGCUGCCCGCAGGCCCUGAAAACCAGUGGCGGGCUCGCUAGUCACACCGAGCGCAGUAGCACAUCUCGCUCAGGGCGUGCGGCGGGCUUCAGCCGUUAAAGCACCCACCUUUCGCAAGGUUGACCUCGGAUCAGGUAGGAAUACCCGCUGAACUUAAGCAUAUCAAUAAGCGGAGGA
rnacentral:misc_RNA from 1 species